UCACCAUAAUACCCAGAUUUCACUCCCCAAAAUAUGAUUGCCAAAAUUGGAAUUGGUAUAAGUGGGGAGGUAUUCUUUACAAUUGUAUGAAGAAGUUGAGUACCGAAGUGCAAAUUGCCUUGAUAUAUAUCUUCUCCACCGCUUGGAGCUCCUAUGUAUCGAUUUUGUGCUCUCAUUUUGUAGAAAGAAACAAAGGGAAGAACAGAACAGCUUCAGGAGGAGAAACUAAGGGUCCAAAUCCACCAGAGUCCAAUUGAUUUAAGGUAACUAAUGUAUAGAAUUGAAUUUUAUGAGCUGAACUUGAUAGGAUUUGGUGAUCUUUUAUGAACCAAAUUUGAGUUGAUAACUUCUAGCCGGGAAAAUUGAAGUUGGACAGCUAUAAACCAAUUUUGUGGCUAUGAUUUCUUGCAUAUGUUGCUAUUAACUUGUAACCAAACAUCUGAUGUGGGUAGAUGUAUGAAACUGAAGAGAUUUUAGAUGGUAAUGGCCAAGAAACCUUGAGUUCUAACUAACCCCAAGGUUGACAGUCACCUUUGCGCAGCUUUAGUAAAUUGGCCAUAACUUGAGAUGGAAAACUCGAAAUUGGGUAACGUCAAUUGCAUUAGAAACUAGACUUAGAGAUCUUUCCAGCGGUAUAAAAAUCAAGCUCUGGUUCAUUGCCUACUAAACCAGAAAAUUUGCAAAUUUCAUUGGAAAUCAGAACCUGCGCAGUUAGAGACUGGAAAUUGCACUUGCUUGUGGCCCAACUUAGAACCGUCUAUUGAUUGAUUCGCUAAAUGAUCCCUUGUAGAUAUAUUUAGUAUUUCAAUUGUGGGUUCUAAUGCCUCCAAUUUUGUGGUGAUUUGACAUAUAUAUCCAGAGUUAUGCAUGUUUAAUUGACAACUGCAUUUGCUGAAAUUUCCACCCUGCACAACAUAAGAACUUGAAAGUGUACCAAAUUGUGACUGAAUUUAGAUAAGCUUAUGAUCUAAAUCUCUCAAUAGUUUCUUCUAAAGAUAGUUAGAGCCUUGUUUCUAGUUUAUAAGAGUGUGAAACUUAGAAUUUUCUGAAGUAUACAGCCCAUGUUACGCAUGUUUAAUUGAACUUUGUCCAUGCUGAAAAUGAUAGAGAGCAGUGUAGCUCUAUAGUCGACUUAAGUAUAAUGGCAUAACUCUUGAGACGAUAUACGUUCUUGAUUACUGCUAGGAGUUUCAACAGAUGGUUAUUAUUCUGAUUUUAUUGUUUUAGGGGAAGGAUAAAGAGAAUUUGUGUGACACUCUCUUGAUUAACGAGUAACUGGCUCUUUCAUAUCUCUAUAAUUUUUAAAAUGUCUUUAAAAAUUUUUUAUUUGUCACUUGUUAUAGAAAAUAUAUUUUGUUAUACUAAAUUGGAUUGAGCAUGUGUAAUUUUUUGACAACUAUGUGCAUAUGAAUAACUAUAUUACUUGUUUAAAAGUGAUUGUUAUGCAAUAUUUUGGAUAUCAUUGGACGUGCUUAAAUAAGUAAAUGACACGAAAAGGCUCUAAAAUUGUUAUAUUUGAAUACUGGUAGCCCUUUCACAGGAUAUAAUAGUGGACAAAUGACUCUAUUACGGGAAAAAAGAGUGACCGUAGUAAUUAUCUAGAACUAUAUUUUUAACCGGUAUGUGGCCCUACCACGGAAAAUAAUAGUGGUAUUUCAUAGUCUUGUCAUGAAAUAUAAUGGUGACCGUGGCAUAUUUUUGAGCUAAACGCAAAAUGAAAAGAUACAACAUUCCAUGGAUUAUAAUUAAAGAACUAUGAAUCUAUGCACAGUUAUGCAUUGUAUAUGCAAGAUGCAUGCACUGUUUUAAUUGUGAUUGAAUUCCAAGAAAUAAUUUUAUUAAAUGUUAUUUAUAAUAUUAAUAUACUCAAUCUAUUAAAGAUACAUUUGAGCUACUUAUUGAGUAAAUUGAUGAUCACCCCACCUAAUUUUUUCUGUCCUGCAGAUGAGGAUCAAAUGCAUGAUCGAUUGAAGACUAGUUUGAUCAUAGUAUGUUUCUAGCGUUGAAUUUUGCAAAAAUGUAGCUUGUAUGACUUUUGUACCCUAGUAAUGCAUGUAUGUCAAGAGUUUAAUGUGAAAAAUUGUACAAAUGACUUUUUAUGUUUGAAACUUUGGUAAACACAUUUAGGUGGCGUUUGGUUCGCACAUCGGAAUCGCAUUCGGAUUCGGAAUCGGAUAUCCUGGGUUUGGAAUGAGGUCAUUCAUUCCAAUAUAUUUGUUUGGUUCAAGUACCUGGAAUGUGUAUCAUUACUAUAGUUGAUGUUUGGUUCGUCGACUCUUUCGGAAUGGAAUAUAAUAAAUAUAUUAUAAACCACAUCGUAAAUGAUAAUUAUUGGCUCUUUGUAAAUGAG
rnacentral:lncRNA from 1 species